ensembl:lncRNA
AAGCGAUCGCCUCAUUCUGCAGGUGCAAGAUAUCUGCAAGCGAAGAGACUAGAACACCCAAGGCCGCUUUCCUUUUAUGGAGUUGUUUUUCUGCUAAUGCAGCACUUUCCUCACAACCCCCUCCUGUAAGUUUUAGAGAAUAUAUACCCAUCCUCACAGCAAAUAUUGGGAAUCUCCUGAUGUGAGCUGUGUUGAGAGGUUGUCUCUGUCUCAAUAAAAGUUCACUGAUUCCCCAUCUGCAGCAGGUGUCCGGUUGUCUUCAUUCUCCGCCAGCCUGGAUCCGCUCCAGGUCAACUGGAACGGAUGGGAGGACAUCGGCCGUGGUCUGAGUGAACGGAGUUUGGACAAAAGCUGUGUGCACACAAAAACAAGGACAGCUGUUACUGCUUUCGUCGGGAACCGAGACUGCUUGCAGCCGACCCCUGGGCAGGGUGGUGCCUGGACUCUUUUCUCCUCAUCUGCAAUGACAGAUAAAGACAAAUGAUAAGACCCGAGGAGUUUUUCGAGCCAGGCUUCGACACGUCUCUGUGUUCCUUUGAAUGUUACUUAUUUUUGUGUGUUGACCCAUUUAAGAUGGGUCAAAAGGGGGAUUUGAAGAAAAUAUAAUCUGAUCAAACAUUAUUCAGCUUUAAAUAUUGUUCAGCUUUAAAGUUACUGUGCAACUGUGUAAUAAAAAUGUGCUCACGACUUUGGCCUUGAGAGCGAUAAGAAGCGAUCGCCUCAUUCUGCAGGUGCAAGAUAUCUGCAAGCGAAGAGACUAGAACACCCAAGGCCGCUUUCCUUUUAUGGAGUUGUUUUUCUGCUAAUGCAGCACUUUCCUCACAACCCCCUCCUGUAAGUUUUAGAGAAUAUAUACCCAUCCUCACAGCAAAUAUUGGGAAUCUCCUGAUGUGAGCUGUGUUGAGAGGUUGUCUCUGUCUCAAUAAAAGUUCACUGAUUCCCCAUCUGCA